rnacentral:rRNA from 1 species
UACGAAGGGGGCUAGCGUUGUUCGGAAUUACUGGGCGUAAAGCGCGUGUAGGCGGGUCCUUAAGUCAGGGGUGAAAAUGCCAAGGCUCAACCUUGGAACUGCCUUUGAUACUGGGGAUCUUGAGUCCGGGAGAGGUGAGUGGAACUGCGAGUGUAGAGGUGAAAUUCGUAGAUAUUCGCAAGAACACCAGUGGCGAAGGCGGCUCACUGGCCCGGAACUGACGCUGAUGAGCGAAAGCCAGGGGAGCAAACGGG